rnacentral:rRNA from 1 species
GACGAACGCUGGCGGCGUGCUUAACACAUGCAAGUCGAACGGUGAAGGGACUGGUUUUGCUGGUCCUGGAUGAGUGGCGAACGGGUGAGUAACACGUGAGUAACCUGCCCCCUUCUUCUGGAUAACCGCAUGAAAGUGUGGCUAAUACGGGAUAUUCUGGGUCUGUCGCAUGGUGGGCCUGGGAAAGAUUGCGCCUUUUUUGGUGUUUUUGGUGGGGGAUGGGCUCGCGGCCUAUCAGCUUGUUGGUGGGGUGAUGGCCUACCAAGGCGGUGACGGGUAGCCGGCCUGAGAGGGUGGACGGUCACACUGGGACUGAGACACGGCCCAGACUCCUACGGGAGGCAGCAGUGGGGAAUAUUGCACGAUGGGCGCAAGCCUGAUGCAGCGACGCCGCGUGAGGGAUGGAGGCCGUCGGGUUGUGAACCUCUUUCGCCAGUGAAGCAGGCCUGCCUCUAUUUGUGGGUGGGUUGACGGUAGCUGGAUAAGAAGCGCCGGCUAACUACGUG